CCUACGGGUGGCAGCAGUGGGGAAUAUUGGACAAUGGGCGAAAGCCUGAUCCAGCCAUGCCGCGUGUGUGAAGAAGGCCUUCGGGUUGUAAAGCACUUUCAGUGGGGAAGAAAGCCUUGGGGCUAAUACCCUCGAGGAAGGACAUCACCCACAGAAGAAGCACCGGCUAACUCCGUGCCAGCAGCCGCGGUAAUACGGAGGGUGCGAGCGUUAAUCGGAAUUACUGGGCGUAAAGCGCGCGUAGGCGGUCUGAUAAGCCGGGUGUGAAAGCCCCGGGCUCAACCUGGGAACGGCAUCCGGAACUGUCAGGCUAGAGUACAGGAGAGGAAGGUAGAAUUCCCGGUGUAGCGGUGAAAUGCGUAGAGAUCGGGAGGAAUACCAGUGGCGAAGGCAGCCUUCUGGACUGACACUGACGCUGAGGUGCGAAAGCGUGGGUAGCAAACAGGAUUAGAUACCCCAGUAGUC
rnacentral:rRNA from 1 species